CUGAGGAUCAGAAGGACUCUGUGUGGUGAAUGCACCACCAUGUUUUGCAGAAAGCAUAGUGUUUCCAAGGAAAUCUCAGGAAAAUUACAAAAUCUGUAACUUUAGCAACAGUUGGAGCUUCAUUUGCUGGGGCAAAGGAAAAAAAUUAUAAAUAUUAUCAGUGUCACUAACAUGAGUUUACUACACCUCUUCCACCUCCAAAGGCACUUUUUUCUGAAUUCUUACCAAAAACCCAUGUCCUGGUAAUACAGCAGCCUUACACUUCCCUACACAUGGCACUCCUGGGAGACUCAACCUGCAACUCCAUCGUGUGAGAGUGGGAUGUGCUUGAAGUCUUUCAUCAAGGAAAAAAUGUAAAUUGGUAUCCAUCUGGUCAGAUGAUGAAACUGUUUUGUGUCCAAAAUGUUAACAAUAAAGUUCACUUCUUUGUAAACGAUGAUUUUAUAAAAUUGCAAGUAAAUUGUCUUUGCAGAAAAUUAAUUGUGGGUUAUCACUUGGACUCCAGUCACACAAGGGGGCUGUCUAUGUUUCAGGGAGUGAGGGUGUACUUUCAUUUGUUGUAUUAUACUCAUACCCCAACUUUUUUGGACCUCAUGCAGCUUUAGCCAACAGCAGUUUCUCUAAGCCGAUGAGGUUACAACGCUGUGGAAUGAAAAAGCCACUGCUGGCUUGUAAUAGCGAGAACAGAUGUUGACAAGAGAAGAACUUCCUGCUAUGGGGAACAAAGGCUGCAUUGCACUGCAACAAAUGGAGAAAGUGCUGUCAUUUGUUCAAUUACUAAAACAUAGCCCCAUUUAUGAUAUAAUUUGGAAUUCUGGUUCUACUGAGUUUUAUGCUAUUUAUGGUUUUAUGCCUGCCAAAGCUAUGAUUUUCAACUUGAAAUGUGAUCUUGUGUUUGACCUUGGAACUGGUGCUCUAAGGCAGCCUAUUCGGUCCUUGUGGCCAUAUAUUAAUACUAACUGGAUUUGGAAAUCUGAGGAACAAACGUGAGUGUGGGAUAUUAAAAGCUACAAACUUAUUUCCAAACAAGUAUCCUCUGAUCAUACAUAUUUUGCUAGGUACCUAGAUGGGAGCACCUUUUACUAUCACACAUGCUCCCAGGUUGUGUGUUAAUAAUGGAUACAAGCUUUGACAUUAUACCAGCCCUAUCCUGCAUGAGUAAGAUGUGUCACCAAAUGUAGAAAUAUGGCAGGCUUCUUGGCAGACAUUUCUGGAUGAACUAUUUCCAGCAAAAGCAGUAACUUAUCAAGCAGUUCCAAGUGAAGUACCCAACUAGGAACCUAAAUUUGCAAUGACUGAUAGACUCCCAGCUUUAAGAAAUAAAACAAUCACCAAUUCUAAGCUGUAUGAAGAGAAAUCACCCCAGAAUAAGAAAUCCCAACCAGGAAAUGAUAAACCAUUAACAAAAGCAGCCCUGAAAAAUCAAAGGAAAUAUAAAGCUAAGAAAGCUACAAAGCAGGAAGUAAGAAGUGACAAGAGUCCAGAUUUGACACCUACCCCUGUCCCCCAGAGCACACCCUGAAAUACAGUGUCUCAGUUAACAUCUGGAAACCCUGAGAUAGAUGAAAAAUUCAAGAACCUAAAAAGCCAAAAGCAACUGACUCUCAGUUAACAUCUGGAAAUCCUGAGAUAGACGAAAAAUUCAAGAACCUAAAAAGCCAAAAGCAGCUGAACCUUGAAAGAACACAGCAACUGAAACACAGCUAGAAAAACAGUGAGUUAGAAAAAUAAAAGAUAGUUCCCUUCUCCAAGAGCUGGAAGAUUUGAAAAUGGUUACUUAA
rnacentral:lncRNA from 1 species